AUUAAAUAUAAGAGGAGAACAACGACACAAUAUUAAAAUGUAACACACACAGAAACGGACUAAGCAUUAGACAAAAUCCGAUGAGAAUAACAAAUAUAACAUCAAAACCAAAUACAUGAAUUUGGGAUAGAAAAGUACCGUGACACGUCUUAUAGUAAUGUGAAUUCACACUAAAAUAUAAGAGAAAACAAACGACACAACGGAAACACAACGUAAAAAUGUUACACACAUAGAAAUGAACAAUAAUAUAACAAUGGC
rnacentral:lncRNA from 1 species